AUCCCGCUGACGAGUCCUAAAUAGGUCGAAAUGCCCAUCGCGGAU
rnacentral:hammerhead_ribozyme from 1 species